GAUGAACGCUGGCGGCGUGCCUAAUACAUGCCAGUCGAGCGAACAGACGAGGAGCUUGCUCCUCUGACGUUAGCGGCGGGCGGGUGAGUAACACGUGGAUAACCUACCUAUAAGACUGGGAUAACUUCGGGAAACCGGAGCUAAUACCGGAUAAUAUAUUGAACCGCAUGGUUCAAUAGUGAAAGACGGUUUUGCUGUCACUUAUAGAUGGAUCCGCGCCGCAUUAGCUAGUUGGUAAGGUAACGGCUUACCAAGGCAACGAUGCGUAGCCGACCUGAGAGGGUGAUCGGCCACACUGGAACUGAGACACGGUCCAGACUCCUACGGGAGGCAGCAGUAGGGAAUCUUCCGCAAUGGGCGAAAGCCUGACGGAGCAACGCCGCGUGAGUGAUGAAGGUCUUCGGAUCGUAAAACUCUGUUAUUAGGGAAGAACAAAUGUGUAAGUAACUAUGCACGUCUUGACGGUACCUAAUCAGAAAGCCACGGCUAACUACGUG
rnacentral:rRNA from 1 species